CUUGGAAGGCUGAUGUUCUCCGACAGCGACAGACGCGAAACCCCCUGUCAACCGAGCAAUUUACAACCCGCCGUGGUGGCUUAGUCGUUAUGGCUUUGCGCUGUUAAGCACGAGGUCGGGGGUUCUUUUCCCGGCUAGGGUGGCCACAUUUCGAUAGGGGCGAAAUGCAAAAACGCUUAUGUACCAUGCAUAUGGGGGCCCAUGUAGCUCAUUUGCUUGAUUAAUGUUACAAGAGCUGCAAGAGCUGCUAGGCCAUUCGGAUAGCCAAAAAUGCAAUAGUUCCAGAUCCCACCCGGGACUACAGCACGUUUGUCUUCAACUGCGAAUCUUUCUAAUCACAAGACCCGCGUGGUAUUUCCUUGUAACUUCUUGCUAACUUGAAGCGUAUGCCAGUGAUAUGGCAAUUUACUUGCCCCACUUGUGUAUAGGCAGAUCAAAUACUUCUGCCGUAGUUUACUUUGAAAUGAUGUACAACUAGCUCUUCAUUCAUCGCUAGAAGGGCGACUCCAACUGCUCGCGCCUCAGUAAGCAUCGUAAACGACGGCCGCCCCUUUUGCAGCGAAGCUUUGUGAGCACUCGCGAACAGUAGUAGCAGGUGGUUCUGACACCGAGAAGUAAGCAUUUUAUCGAGGACCUUCCGCUCGGCGCUAUAGCUGUUGAUACUCCUGCAUCGCGAUGUCGAAUGUACGCGUCUGUUUUCUCUCUCUUACCGUGGUAAUGUUGGCCUUGCCGUGCGUAACGACGUGGAUUGACGGUCGACAGAGGGGCCCAAGUUGGGUGAGCAUACCACCUGUUUACUUUGGGGAAAUAAGGGAGUUCGCCCAGCUCGCCGCGUACAGGGCGUCAGCGGACAACAAGUACCUCUACCACGUCGUCGUCAUCAACGAAGCGCGAUCAAGGCCGGAAGGCAUGAGAUGGCACAUCCAGAUGAAACUGAAGGUGGCGGAGUCCGUGUGCCUAACAAAACAUGGCAGAAGUCCUACAAGACCCUGCCCACAAAGGCCCCAUGCCCCCGUCCGGCGCUGCGAACUUGACAUCAUUCGCGGACGAUGGCGGAUGUUUGUACACGUUUACAUGGAAUGCGAGAGACCGCACCACUAGACACGGGCCUUUAGCUCAAGACACUGUUCUGCAGUCUAGUCAAUCAUACCGAGGAGCUGACCCUGUGCGCAAACGGAAGCUGUGCAUUCUUCAGUCCGUUCUCGAGCACCGAUACAGCGACCAUCGUGUAGAUCAAACAACCCUUUAUUGUCU